CUAGCCUGGGCAACAAAGCGAGACUCUGUCUCAAAAACAAAACAAAACAAAACACUCUAUGCGAGGGAAAUAAGAGCAACAAUAGCCCCUUAGCUACAGUCAAGCCUUGUCACUGACAGAUUCUGUAUUUGAGAGCUCGUCUACUUGCUAACAUUUAUUUGCAACCCCUGUUCUGAUCCUUCCAGGAUAUGUGCAGAGAAUAAUUCCAGUCACCUGAUGAGCUGAGGUGAACAAGAUGACGCUCCCUUGUUUCAGCUCUCAUGCUGUAAACAAGUGUCCCUUUCAUGGUGUAUGUAGUGUCACAUUUGCUGUAAUCGGCCUUGUAAAAUGAGCCCCUCCCUAAGUUAUUUCUGUUGUCUUUCAGACCAGUCAAGCCUAAUGAGCAGAACAUUGUAAUCUUCUUGCUUAAGUAACUUCUCCACAGGACUUCCUGAUUCACUAUCCAUCACCAACAGCUGACUCUUAAAUCAGACCACCUGCAGACCUCACGACUUCAGCCCUAUGCAACCGGACCUGCAUUCCACAGCUGGCUCUAAAAGACCUUGCCCUCCAUCAGUCCAUUGCCAGAGGAGUGAAAAAAGAAAAAAAUAAUUAUUAUAAAUAAAAAAUUUAAAAAAAAGUAAAAUAAUAAAAGACUUUGCCCUUAGUCAGUGGAGAAAUGGAUUUGAACUAUAACUCCCAUAUCCCAGCUGACGUCAAUACAUCAAUACCCUUUCUUCCCUGGUGUACUGAGGUACAGAAUAUUAAGGCCUGCUUGGGGUCACAUAAGUAUAUAAGGCUCAAGGUAUGCACCCACUCCCUGGAGAAGCAGGCCACUUCUUGAGGAAAUAGGAAUCCAUAGCUCUGAGCUAUGUGCCUGGAAAUGUUUAUCCGGGACUGCCUAGGAAUGUUUAUCGUAGGCUCUUGCCCAGAAGCGUUAUGUGACACCAGUCAUUAUAGGCCCCGGCUCCUGGCCAGAUCCGGGACCUCAUGAGACCAGAGCAUACGCCUUUUUGGCGCCAAAGCCUUCCUUUGUUCAGAUCCCUAUAUAAACAGCAUAGAAAAGCCCCCGAGGGGCCGCCAUUUUUCCUAUCCGACCUCUCAGGCAUGCCGCUGCCUGUUUGACAUCCCAGCAUGUUGUUGCCUUUACGGCUGCCUGAGACUGCUCCUAAGGAUUAGCCUCCGGUGUUGAGACUGCCUGUGAGGAUUAGCCUCCGGUGCUGAUAAUGGGGUCCUAGUGGACCAACCUACCAAGAAUAACCAGAACUGACUGUAUUUGGAAAGCCUGCAAGUUUAAGGUAUGGGGGAAAAGAGAAAAGAUGUUGGUGCCAAGGGAAAACCUGCCCUUCAUCCUCAGGGGUUUUGCUGAAAAAUCAUCUCACAGAAGGCAGAUUAACAGAAGAAAUGGCAUACAAAUUUAUUAAAGUACCCGGGAGUCUCACGAACUAAGACCUCAAAGAAAUGGAAGAUGGUUCAUGCUUUUAUACCAAGUUAAGGCUACAGAAAGAAAGGGGGCUCAGAGCAUGGCUGAAAACAAGUUGAGGACUAAACUCUGAACACCGUUUUUUUGCUCUAAAUUCCUUCCUAAGGGGCCUGGAGAACCACGCCUGCAGCCGUCUUGCUAACCAGGCCAUUCUGACCCCGUAUACUGUGGCUUGGCAGCCUGACUCCGGCAUAGCAUCACAAGAUGAUCAGUAAACUUAUCUAAUGUCUGUGAAAGU